ensembl:lncRNA
UAGCAAGGCAAACUUAAAACAAAAAAGUCAACCAAUGUUUGACGUCAUAAUCAGUUCUCUGAGACUUGAUUAUGACGUUAGUCGAUGUAAUAUGAACAGUGUCGGGACAACAACCCGAGUCAGGGAUCUUCUUCACUGACUGUAGACUGAGAACAUUAUACAAGAUUUAGGUAAUAUUUUCUAAAUGUGAUGUCCUUGGUUUUAUCAUAUGUGCAUGUUUAGCCUAUUUUCCCAUACUUUUAUUAAUUGAUUUCACCUCGCAAGAUGCAAAGGAAAGUUGCCACGAUUAUUAAUGAAUCAUUCAAUAGAAAGGGGGGGAAGAAUUGUUGCUGACCAGAUAUUGCCACAGGGUGACGCGUAAAAAAGACGAGAGCACCUAAAAGGCAGCCUUAACUCAAAAUAAGAGGGUGUUUUGUAACUGUCUGUCUGGCCCUCGGACUCCUCCUCCACCUAACUGUCAGUAGCAACGUUCUGGUUGAGUCCCGUUUGCCUUGUGCUAGCAAAUACUGUAGCAGAUUUUUUUUGUGAAAGUGAUACGAAGAGCCAACAAAGGGGUUGGCUCUUUAUACCCCGUUCUGUCUACCACUAAAUUGUUGUUCGGAAAUGUAUAGGGCUGCUGGUUGCAAUUAGCCAAGUUAUCGUUCCAUUUGAGAGAGGUUACAUUUGACAGCUCGCCACCUGGGACAGGGAGCUUUGCCUCUGCCUUACCCAUGAUGGCGACCCAAGAAGCGGACAUGUCGCGGCGCAGUAUGAGGCUGGUUUUAGGGGGAUACUACCACCAGUCAUCAGACGAUGAUGAGUCCUCCUCAGUUUCCUACAGGGAGAGCCCCGUGAGGGUUUUUACUAAGAGGAAGACAGGUGGUCGUAAAGUGGCGGCCUCUCGUACCUCCAGCCGGGCCAACAGCGUGGCUAGCACCGCUAGCAGCAAGGGUAGUACAGUGGAGCCACCCAUCAAUGCUGAGGACUACAUUGGGGUCUCAAGCUUGGUUCAGAGAAGGAAGACCUUCCAGGAACCUCUUGCCCCAGCCCCCAGCCUGAACCUGGCUCCCAGCCCCAUGGGCUUCUCGUCCUGCCAGACCGGCCUGAACCAGGCUCCCAGCCCCAGGGGCUUCUCGUCCUGCCAGACCGGCCUGAACCAGGCCCAGAGCCAGACCAGCGCCAUGGACAGCUCUGGUUACUCCUCUUCAGAGGCAAGACGUUACAGAGGAUACUCUGGAGACUCCUCCUUAGGCGAACAAAGGGCUAGCGCCAGCCAGAGAUCUGGCACUAACAGGACAAGUGCUAGAGCCAAUUGGAGUGAGUACUGUGUGUGUGCUAGCGUAGCAUUAGCUGGUCUCUAUGAUUGUAGCUUGUUUGUUAGCAUUAGCUUUAUCUCUUUCUCCUCCUGUAGCCCCUCCGUUUAUCCCGGCCGAUGUGGGGAAGGCCAUUCUAAUUGCCAUCCUCCUCAUCCUAUUGACCUUCGGCUGCUGGCUCCUUGCCCCCUUGGUAUGGGCCACCCUGACUUCAGCCCUGAAUGCUAUCACUAUGACCCUGAACCGACCUGUCAUCACCCCAACUCCGCCACCUGUCUUCACUACGCCACCUGUCAAGGCUAUGGAUGGAGCUUCGGUAUUGCAUUCUGCUCUGGAAGCCAAGAUGAACACCAUCCUGAGAGAAAUUGAAAUUCUUAAGAAGAAGGAACACCAGCAGAAAUUUGUAACCGAGAUGGUAGAGAGACUGCAGACAGACUUGGCAGACGUCAGAACAGACAUGAGGGACGUGAGAGUGAGAGUGGACAG